AUUCCAGCUCCAAUAGCGUAUAUUAAAGUUGUUGCAGUUAAAAAGCUCGUAGUUGGAUUUCUGGUCUGAUGCCCUGGCCCGCGUCUUAUAGAUGUGUGUGCCGGCUGUGCGUCUGCCAUCCUUCUAGUAACCCUUCCUACCCUUCACUGGGCCGGGUUGGCGAUCUAGAUCUUUUACUUUGAAAAAAUUAGAGUGUUUAAAGCAGGCUUUUGCUAUGAAUACAUUAGCAUGGAAUAAUAAUCUAGGACUUCGGUUCUAUUUUGUUGGUUUCUAGUACUGAAGUAAUGAUUGAUAGGGAUAGUUGGGGGUGCUAGUAUUGGGCGGCCAGAGGUGAAAUUCUUGGAUUCGCUCAAGACUAACUUAUGCGAAAGCAUUCACCAAGGAUGUCUUCAUCA
rnacentral:rRNA from 1 species